UUAGGACGAACAGUGAUAUCCAGGAAACCAUAUAGUCCUUUCUAAAAUACAGCAUAGUACACACACCUUUUGUUUACGACCAUCGGCAUGGAAAAAUGCCUUUUGAAGAAGUGUAUUGGAGGGGAGCUGGGUAGAAAAUUUGCCUUGUUGGACCGAUUAAUUGAAAGAAAUUUGAAUACCUCUGGACCGAAUAGGUGAUAGUUAUUUACUAUUGACAAC